rnacentral:rRNA from 1 species
GUCCUCUUGUUUAUAUAUGAGGUCUGACCUGCCCGGUGAAAAUUAUUUUAACGGCCGCAGUAUUUUGACUGUGCAAAGGUAGCAUAAUCAUUAGUCUUUUAAUAGGGGGCUGGAAUGAAGGGUUUGACGAGGUGUUAACUGUCUCAUUAAAUUUGUUAUUAAAAUUUAACUUUUCAGUCAAAAGGCUGAAAUUAUAUUGGAAGACGAGAAGACCCUAUAGAGCUUUAUAAUUGAAAGCUUAAUUAUUGGUUGUUUAUUAUUUUUUAUUAUUCUUUUAAUUAUUUUGUUGGGGUGACAAAAAUAUAAAAUUAACUUUUUUAUUUAGUGAACAUUGAUUAAUGAGUAUUAGAUCCAAUCUUAUUGAUUGUUAGAUUAAGUUACC